GAUGAACGCUGGCGGCGUGCCUAAUACAUGCAAGUCGAGCGAACAGACGAGGAUCUUGCUCCUCUGACGUUAGCGGCGGACGGGUGAGUAACACGUGGAUAACCUACCUAUAAUACUGGGAUAACUUCGGGAAACCGGAGCUAAUACCGGAUAAUAUAUUGAACCGCAUGGUUCAAUAGUGAAAGACGGUUUUGCUGUCACUUAUAGAUGGAUCCGCGCCUCAUUAGCUAGUUGGUAAGGUAACGGCUUACCAAGGCAAGGAUGCGUAGCCGAGCUGGUAGGGGGAUCGGCCCCCUGGGACCUGAGAGACGGCCCAGGUUCCUAGGGGAGGCAGAGUUAGGGAAUCUCCGCAAAGGGCGAAAGCCUGACGGAGCAACGCCGCGUGAGUGAUGAAGGUCUUCGGAUCGUAAAACUCUGUUAUUAGGGAAGAACAAAUGUGUAAGUAACUAUGCACGUCUUGACGGUACCUAAUCAGAAAGCCACGGCUAACUACGUG
rnacentral:rRNA from 1 species